UCUCUCUCGAGGCGACCAAACCCACGAGUCCACGACAUGCCGCAGUCCCACACUGUUGCCAGAGAAAAGGAACCCACCGCUCGGCGCUCUCUUUUUCCCCCACCUGUUCCUAACUCUCCUGCCUUCCUCCCCCGACCACGGCAUGCUCCACAGCCACGACCCCUCUGAUCCUCCACCCAUCCAACCUCCACGCUGAUGGUCGAGUAGUUCUUCAACGCGGAUUCUCCUCACCAGCGCGGACCGCCCCCUCCACUUUAUGCUCGCCUCCCUGACACGGCCCGCCCGUCCGCGUAUGGAUGGACGCGGAGGAGAUCGGCGGGGGACCGCGCGGUGGAGAUGCAGGGACUCGCCAUGGAUCCUGCCCCGAAUCCCGCCUCCAACCGCGCGCCACCGGCCGUCCCCUUCCUCCCUACGAAUCCAUUAUUUCAGAUCCGUUCUUGCUUAUUUUUUCUGGAGUCUCUUGAUUUGUUUUGUUGAAAUAAAGAUUUACCAAGAUGCAAGUCCUUCCCCGAAGCUUUUUUAUUUGGUAUGAAUCCAUCAUCCAGAUCAUAAUUGUUCUGGCUUCAGACGGAUCCAAUUUGUUUCCUGUGCUAGUUUAUUUCCUAUGCCUAAUUUGUGGCCUACGGUUUAGCACUAGCACUUUAGCAGUACAUGGAUUUGCUUCACGUCCUUUUCGGCUCGCCCAGCCCCUGAUCCCGCUCCUGUCAGUCCCUCGGCUCGCCCAGCCCCUGGAUCCCGCUCCUGUCAGAUCCGGCGCUGUAGCUCGCGCCAAGGUUGCUGGCGCUGCAGCUCGCGCCAUGGCCACCAGUGAUCCAUCCUGCAGCUCGGAAGGAAGGCACGAGCGGAGCUUCUUCCCCAGUCUGUCCACCCUUUUUUCAAGAUUUUUUUUCACUUCGUGAUCUUCCUUUUCUUUUUCGAUCUGCUUCUGCACGAAUUUUCUUGGAUGCACAGAGGUAGGGAGCCAUCAAUUUGUGUUUUUCACGAGUCAAUGAUUUGAUUUUCAUCUCUGUGGAAUCUGCACAGGAUCCAUUUUUAUUUGUCAGAACAAUAUUCUUUUCUUUCUCACGGGCGAGGGAGGCCUGGUUGCAAGAUGCAAGAUCUGUAAUUGGGCACGUGGAUUUGAGGUUGGUUUUUCUUGUUACUUCCGUCCGCUGAACUCAUUUAAUUGAAGAUUCCCAUUUACAAUCUGCCAUCCAAACACAUUAAUCGGAGUAAUUUGAUUGUAUAUUCGAAAUUUGUUCCCAGACUUUCUGUUUUGAACAUGUACUUUUGGUGAAUGUCAUAUCAAAUUGCAAUUUGAGAUUUGUUCAUUAAUAUGUAUUUUUGAGUGGAUGUCAGAUCGAAGUCCAGAAGAAGGAUUUGCAUAUCUGGAUGCUCGAUCUGGAAUUUCCUUUGGAAGCUAUAGUGAAUCUGCUACCAUGCUGGAUGGGGUUCAAAGUGCCAUAAGGGGCUGAUCCAAAAAAUUUGUGUACAUGUACUUUGUCAUGUCAAAUUGCAAAGAAUUGUUUACAGAUUUGCACUUUUUUUUAGUUUUCUUGUGUACCCAGUAUGCACGGCAACCAGGCAAGCAACCAUACACUAGAGAUUCUUUUGGUCCCAAAUUUUUGUAUUCAGAUUUGUUCAUAAAUAUGUAUUUCUGGAUGGAUAUCAGAUGAAUGUGCAGAAGGAGUGUUUUCCAAUCUGUUCUA